GUCUCUGUAGCGCAAUGGAUUGCUUGUUGGACGUCUAAUCCAAAGUCGUGGGUUCAAAUCCCACCUGGGAUG